rnacentral:rRNA from 1 species
GAUGAACGCUGGCGGCGUGCCUAAUACAUGCAAGUCGAGCGAACAGACGAGGAGCUUGCUCCUCUGACGUUAGCGGCGGACGGGUGAGUAACACGUGGAUAACCUACCUAUAAGACUGGGAUAACUUCGGGAAACCGGAGCUAAUACCGGAUAAUAUAUUGAACCGCAUGGUUCAAUAGUGAAAGACGGUUUUGCUGUCACUUAUCGAUGGAUCCGCGCCGCAUUAGCUAGUUGGUAAGGUAACGGCUUACCAAGGCAACGAUGCGUAGCCGACCUGAGAGGGGGAUCGGCCACACUGGAACUGAGACACGGUCCAGACUCCUACGGGAGGCAGCAGUAGGGAAUCUUCCGCAAUGGGCGAAAGCCUGACGGAGCAACGCCGCGUGAGUGAUGAAGGUCUUCGGAUCGUAAAACUCUGUUAUUAGGGAAGAACAAAUGUGUAAGUAACUAUGCACGUCUUGACGGUACCUAAUCAGAAAGCCACGGCUAACUACGUG